rnacentral:rRNA from 1 species
UAUGGAGGAAAACAAGAGGCGAAGGGUGCUAACAGGUCGGGAACUAACGCUGUUGUGCGAAAGCGGGGGGAUCAAGCAGGAAUGGAUACCCUGGGAGUCCACGACGUGAACGAUAAGUGCUAAGUGUUGGGGGGUUACCGCCCCUUAGUGCUGAAGCUAACGCAUUAAGCACUCCGCCUGGGGAGUACAGUCGCGAGAAUGAAGCUCAAAGAAAUUGACGAGGACCCGAACAAGCGGUGGUGCAUGUGGUUUAAUUC